rnacentral:rRNA from 1 species
GAUGAACGCUGGCGGCGUGCCUAAUACAUGCAAGUCGAGCGAACGGACGAGAAGCUUGCUUCUCUGAUGUUAGCGGCGGACGGGUGAGUAACACGUGGAUAACCUACCUAUAAGACUGGGAUAACUUCGGGAAACCGGAGCUAAUACCGGAUAAUAUUUUGAACCGCAUGGUUCAAAAGUGAAAGACGGUCUUGCUGUCACUUAUAGAUGGAUCCGCGCUGCAUUAGCUAGUUGGUAAGGUAACGGCUUACCAAGGCAACGAUGCAUAGCCGACCUGAGAGGGUGAUCGGCCACACUGGAACUGAACCACGGUCCAGACUCCUACGGGAGGCAGCAGUAGGGAAUCUUCCGCAAUGGGCGAAAGCCUGACGGAGCAACGCCGCGUGAGUGAUGAAGGUCUUCGGAUCGUAAAACUCUGUUAUUAGGGAAGAACAUAUGUGUAAGUAACUGUGCACAUCUUGACGGUACCUAAUCAGAAAGCCACGGCUAACUACGUG